rnacentral:rRNA from 1 species
AGGACGAACGCUGGCGGCGUGCUUAACACAUGCAAGUCGAACGGAAAGGCCCUGCUUUUGUGGGGUGCUCGAGUGGCGAACGGGUGAGUAACACGUGAGUAACCUGCCCUUGACUUUGGGAUAACUUCAGGAAACUGGGGCUAAUACCGGAUAGGAGCUCCUGCUGCAUGGGUGGGGGUUGGAAAGUUUCGGCGUU